rnacentral:rRNA from 1 species
GCCAAAGGGCAUGGUCCAAAGGUAGCUAAAUUAUCGGACCAGUAAUUCUGGUUCAUACAUUAAAAAGUGAAGGGGCUGACGAGUUUUUAACUGUCUCUAUGUACAAAUUCGUUGGAAAUUUAGUUGGAAGUGCAAACGCUUUCAUGGGCGAGAAAGACGAGAAGACCCUAUGAAGUUUAUCUAGUGAACCUGAAGGGGGGUUUCGGCUCUGAUGCCUUUGGGGUGGCUUUUGCUGGGGCAGCAGGAGAGCAGAAUGAGACUCGACCUGAUGGGAGAAGUUGACAUGCUUAAGAUCCACUAAAAGAAAAGAGGCGACCGGAGGAAAGAGUUACUCUAGGGAUAACAGCGUAAUUUUGCCCGGGGAGGUCUUAUCGUUGGGCAAGGUUGCGACCUCGAUGUUGGCUCUGGGUAUCCAUGGACAUGUAGGAGGUCCAAAUGGUUGGUUUGUUCGCCCAUUAAAACUC